rnacentral:tRNA from 1 species
CAUUGGAUGACUGAAAGCAAGUAAUGGUCUCUUAAACCAAAUUAUAGUAGACUAGCACCUACUUCCAAUG